GACGAACGCUGGCGGCGUGCUUAACACAUGCAAGUCGAACGGAAAGGCCCUGCUUUUGUGGGGUGCUCGAGUGGCGAACGGGUGAGUAACACGUGAGUAACCUGCCCUUGACUUUGGGAUAACUUCAGGAAACUGGGGCUACUACCGGAUAGGAGCUCCUGCUGCAUGGUGGGGGUUGGAAAGUUUCGGCGGUUGGGGAUGGACUCGCGGCUUAUCAGCUUGUUGGUGGGGUAGUGGCUUACCAAGGCUUUGACGGGUAGCCGGCCUGGGAGGGUGACCGGCCACAUUGGGACUGAGAUACGGCCCAGACUCCUACGGGAGGCAGCAGUGGGGAAUAUUGCACAAUGGGCGGAAGCCUGAUGCAGCAACGCCGCGUGCGGGAUGACGGCCUUCGGGUUGUAAACCGCUUUCGCCUGUGACGAAGCGUGAGUGACGGUAAUGGGUAAAGAAGCACCGGCUAACUACGUG
rnacentral:rRNA from 1 species